rnacentral:lncRNA from 1 species
UGCAGUGUUCCACAUCUACCACCCUGUAAAGGUCACAGUGGGAGCCCAGCUUUGCUCUGUGCCUCCACCAACAGCUGAGCAAGGUUUUGGCUGGCCUCCCACCCUCUGCCCUUAGUCAUCCUGCAGUCUGGGGAUGCACGAUCUGGAUGGCAAAAGAGCGAGCUCAUGCUACUGAACCCUCCUUAUGAUGCAGCUCUUAUGCCUAAUUCAUCAGGCACCUUGGAGAGCCAUCAACUCAUCAACAGCCACAUGGUGGCUUUCAAAAUUGCUGCAGUCAUAGACAAAGAUUGUGUUAGGAAAUUUCAGCUGUUUCAUUCAUUGAAGAAUGUUUGCUCUGAUCUGGAAUCUCCAGCCCAACCUCAAAUACUCAUUAAGGCAGGAUUUAUCCUGAUAGACUGGAAUUACGAAAGUUCACGAGUGCUCCAGGAGCCACAUGAGGAUAAAUAUAGAUUCAAUCAAAUCAAAUCAAGUUUGGCAAUAAAGAUGUAA